rnacentral:hammerhead_ribozyme from 1 species
GCUGACGAGUCUCAAAUAGGACGAAACACGCGUCC